rnacentral:tRNA from 1 species
GCGGGUGUAGUCUAGUGGUUAUGAUGCGUGCUUCCCAAGCACGAGGUCCGGGGUUCGAACCCCCGUUCCCGCA